UCCUGAUAGCUCAGUAGGUAAAGAAUCUGCCUGCAAUGCAGGAGACCCUGGUUUGAUUCCUGGGUUGGGAA
rnacentral:tRNA from 1 species